AGACAUCGGCUCUCACGGUGUUGGUGU
rnacentral:piRNA from 1 species